rnacentral:rRNA from 1 species
GGAUAACUCCGGGAAACCGGGGCUAAUACCGGAUGCUUGUUUGAACCGCAUGGUUCAAACAUAAAAGGUGGCUUCGGCUACCACUUACAGAUGGACCCGCGGCGCAUUAGCUAGUUGGUGAGGUAACGGCUCACCAAGGCAACGAUGCGUAGCCGACCUGAGAGGGUGAUCGGCCACACUGGGACUGAGACACGGCCCAGACUCCUACGGGAGGCAGCAGUAGGGAAUCUUCCGCAAUGGACGAAAGUCUGACGGAGCAACGCCGCGUGAGUGAUGAAGGUUUUCGGAUCGUAAAGCUCUGUUGUUAGGGAAGAACAAGUGCCGUUCGAAUAGGGCGGCACCUUGACGGUACCUAACCAGAAAGCCACGGCUAACUACGUGCCAGCAGCCGCGGUAAUACGUAGGUGGCAAGCGUUGUCCGGAAUUAUUGGGCGUAAAGGGCUCGCAGGCGGUUUCUUAAGUCUGAUGUGAAAGCCCCCGGCUCAACCGGGGAGGGUCAUUGGAAACUGGGGAACUUGAGUGCAGAAGAGGAGAGUGGAAUUCCACGUGUAGCGGUGAAAUGCGUAGAGAUGUGGAGGAACACCAGUGGCGAAGGCGACUCUCUGGUCUGUAACUGACGCUGAGGAGCGAAAGCGUGGGGAGCGAACAGGAUUAGAUACCCUGGUAGUCCACGCCGUAAACGAUGAGUGCUAAGUGUUAGGGGGUUUCCGCCCCUUAGUGCUGCAGCUAACGCAUUAAGCACUCCGCCUGGGGAGUACGGUCGCAAGACUGAAACUCAAAGGAAUUGACGGGGGCCCGCACAAGCGGUGGAGCAUGUGGUUUAAUUCGAAGCAACGCGAAGAACCUUACCAGGUCUUGACAUCCUCUGACAAUCCUAGAGAUAGGACGUCCCCUUCGGGGGCAGAGUGACAGGUGGUGCAUGGUUGUCGUCAGCUCGUGUCGUGAGAUGUUGGGUUAAGUCCCGCAACGAGCGCAACCCUUGAUCUUAGUUGCCAGCAUUCAGUUGGGCACUCUAAGGUGACUGCCGGUGACAAACCGGAGGAAGGUGGGGAUGACGUCAAAUCAUCAUGCCCCUUAUGACCUGGGCUACACACGUGCUACAAUGGACAGAACAAAGGGCAGCGAAACCGCGAGGUUAAGCCAAUCCCACAAAUCUGUUCUCAGUUCG